GAACGCACAUUGCACUCCUUUGGAGUAUGCCUGUUUGAGAAUCUAUAGUAUUUAUUUUUGGUUUGCUUUCGAGCGACCAAAAGAUUUGAGAUGUCUCCCUAGCAUUAUUGUUGGGCGAGUAUCUUUAAACUUAUAGCCUCUUUUGUGGUAAAACAACUCUGCAGAACAGUAUUUGAAUGGAACUCUGGUUUCUCAUAAUGCCUAAUAUGCAGACUUACCUAUUGAAAAGGGGGUCCAUAACUAUAAAGUCAUUUUUCUCGUAAAAGUGACUUGAACCAUGGUCUCAAAUCAGGUAGGAAGACCCGCUGAACUUAAG
rnacentral:misc_RNA from 1 species